GGACAUCCCGUGUCUGUCCUGGCUUCACUGUGGUCUCCACUCACACUUCUCCAGUGCUGCCUUGGAAAGCCAGAUGUGGUGGUGCCCGCCUGUAAUCCCAGCACUUGGAAGGCCGAGGCAGGAGGACUGCCAUGAGUUUCAGGCCACCCUGGGCAACAUAGUGAGCUGAAGUCCGGGCUGAACCACACAGGGAGACCCCGUCUCACAAAACCGAAAAAGGAAAAGCGUCCGUCACCCAAACCACAGGCCUCUACCUACCCCACCUCCUGACCCAAAGAGGCUGCUUGAGCACCAGCCCCACCUGCAUUCCAGUGGACACGCAGGGUGGGGUGAAGCCUCUUUCUGCACACUCCCGAGGCCACACCAGCUCUUCUACAUGCAGCACCUCUGGCUGACCCGGCUGCCGCCCUCAUACAAGACUUGG
rnacentral:lncRNA from 1 species